CACUCUGUUGCAUAAUCUUCAACAUCACAGGUAUCGUGUCUAUUGGCUUGACUCGUUUAUGAUGAAAAGCUGUCCCCACGCAGCCAUUUGACGUCACAUUGCAGCGAUUACAAAACAACCAGCAUUGCACGAGAUAAGGCCAUCACCAUUCGACGUUAUCAGAUCAUCGGAAAUAAUUAUCAGACAAGAACAGACUGUGUACCAUGGCUCUCAGAGGUGCUGUGACUCGUUUGCUCUCCAACGCUGGGAAACGUGCUGCAGUCUCAGCCUCCCGGGCACAGGGCACAGCAGCAGCGUCACCAGCCCAAAACGAAGCCGAAGUGACCACCAAGAAGCCAGUAAAAGCACCCAAGGUGCAGUUUAACUGGCGUGACGCCCUGGAGCUGGACGGCCUGCUGACAGAGGAGGAGGUGAUGAUCAGAGACUCUUUCAGGACCUACUGCCAGGAGAAACUAAUGCCACGCAUCAUCAUGGCCAACAGACACGAACAUUUCCACCGUGAGAUUGUCUCAGAGAUGGGAGAGCUGGGUGUCUUGGGGCCAACCAUCCAAGGUUAUGGUUGUGCUGGAACCAGCUACGUGGCCUACGGGCUCAUUGCCAGGGAGGUGGAGAGGGUGGACAGUGGCUACCGCUCAGUCAUGAGUGUCCAGUCCUCACUGGUCAUGCACCCCAUCAACGCCUACGGCACAGAGGAACAGAAGGAGAAGUGGCUACCCAGGCUAGCUCGUGGGGAGAUCUUGGGCUGUUUCGGCCUGACUGAGCCCAACCACGGCAGUGACCCGCGGGCAUGGAGACCAAGGCCAAAUACAACCCCUCCAGUAGCACCUUCACCAUCAGCGGAGCCAAGACAUGGAUCACCAACUCACCCGUGGCAGACAUCGCGGUGGUCUGGGCCAAGUGUGAGGAUGGCAGGAUCAGAGGCUUCAUCCUUGAGCGUGGCAUGAAGGGCCUGGCAACGCCUAAGAUCGAGGGCAAGUUCUCUCUGCGGGCGUCGGCCACGGGCAUGAUCCUGAUGGACGAGGUGGAGGUGCCCCAAGAGAAUAUGUUGCCUAACGUCUCUGGACUGGCUGGUCCCUUCGGCUGCCUGAAUAACGCCCGCUACGGUAUCGCCUGGGGAGCUCUAGGUGCUGCCGAGUUCUGCUUCCACGCUGCCCGCCAGUACACACUGGACAGGAUCCAGUUUGGCGUGCCCUUGGCCAGGAACCAGCUGAUGCAGAAGAAGAUGGCUGACAUGCUGACAGAGAUCACCAUCGGCCUGCAGUCCUGUCUGGCACUAGGCAGACUCAUCGAUGACAAGAAAGCGGCCCCUGAGAUGAUCUCCAUGCUGAAGAGGAACAGCUGUGGGAAGUCCCUGGACAUCGCCAGGCAGGCCCGAGACAUGUUGGGAGGCAACGGCAUCGCAGACGAGUACCACAUUAUCAGACACGUCAUGAACCUGGAGGCCGUCAACACAUACGAAGGUACCCAUGACAUCCAUGCCUUGAUCCUGGGCCGAGCCAUCACUGGACUGCAGUCAUUCACUGUUGAGAAGUAAACUCUCCUCCUUGUCCUCCUAUUACAACGGACUGAAUAACGGACUUAAAGUAGACUGGGAAAGCCUUGAGCUGCCCAUCUAUCUGCCUUCUGAGAAGUAAUCAGUGAGGGUGUGUGCCUGACUGCUGAUGGACUUCCAUCCCCAAGUGCCUUUGUUUGGUGAGAGAAUAUUAAAGUAAAAGUCAACCUGAAAGAAACACCGGGUCCAAAUAUGAGACGGUUUUUGUUUUGCUUAUGUACCUGUACUCAAUCAAUCUACGAUUGAAAUACAAUGUCAGCUUGAAUGUUGAUACAGUAGCUUCAGUCUCCUACUACGAAGGGAUGUCACAAUGGCAUGUAGCAUGUUGAUAAGGGAUCUGUAUCGAUUAGAAAGAUAUGUUAUGGAAUAAGUUCACUUAAUGGGUGAGAGGUUGUACAGUAUGUAUGUGUAUCUUUAGAGAUUUGUUCACAACUGGUCUAUUUGAUUUAUUUCUAGGUGAAAGAAAUGAACUGUACAUAAAGCAUAUUUUGAAAUUA